CGCACAUUGCGCCCUUUGGUAUUCCUUAGGGCAUGCCUGUUCGAGCGUCAUCUAAAACCCUCAAGCGCUGCUUGGUGUUGGGCGCCUUGUCCCCCCGUUUGGGGGGACUCGCCCUAAAAUCAUUGGCGGCCCGUGUGAUCGGCUUCGAGCGCAGCAGAAUCGCGCCUCGCAAGACCCUCCUACGCGGGCAUCCACAAAGACACCCCCAAUUUUGACCUCGGAUCAGGUAGGGAUACCCGCUGAACUUAA
rnacentral:misc_RNA from 1 species